rnacentral:rRNA from 1 species
AAAUUGAAGAGUUUGAUCAUGGCUCAGAUUGAACGCUGGCGGCAGGCCUAACACAUGCAAGUCGAGCGGUAGCACAGAGAGCUUGCUCUCGGGUGACGAGCGGCGGACGGGUGAGUAAUGUCUGGGAAACUGCCUGAUGGAGGGGGAUAACUACUGGAAACGGUAGCUAAUACCGCAUAAUGUCGCAAGACCAAAGUGGGGGACCUUCGGGCCUCAUGCCAUCAGAUGUGCCCAGAUGGGAUUAGCUAGUAGGUGGGGUAACGGCUCACCUAGGCGACGAUCCCUAGCUGGUCUGAGAGGAUGACCAGCCACACUGGAACUGAGACACGGUCCAGACUCCUACGGGAGGCAGCAGUGGGGAAUAUUGCACAAUGGGCGCAAGCCUGAUGCAGCCAUGCCGCGUGUGUGAAGAAGGCCUUCGGGUUGUAAAGCACUUUCAGCGGGGAGGAAGGCGAUAAGGUUAAUAACCUUGGCGAUUGACGUUACCCGCAGAAGAAGCACCGGCUAACUCCGUGCCAGCAGCCGCGGUAAUACGGAGGGUGCAAGCGUUAAUCGGAAUUACUGGGCGUAAAGCGCACGCAGGCGGUCUGUCAAGUCGGAUGUGAAAUCCCCGGGCUCAACCUGGGAACUGCAUUCGAAACUGGCAGGCUAGAGUCUUGUAGAGGGGGGUAGAAUUCCAGGUGUAGCGGUGAAAUGCGUAGAGAUCUGGAGGAAUACCGGUGGCGAAGGCGGCCCCCUGGACAAAGACUGACGCUCAGGUGCGAAAGCGUGGGGAGCAAACAGGAUUAGAUACCCUGGUAGUCCACGCCGUAAACGAUGUCGAUUUGGAGGUUGUGCCCUUGAGGCGUGGCUUCCGGAGCUAACGCGUUAAAUCGACCGCCUGGGGAGUACGGCCGCAAGGUUAAAACUCAAAUGAAUUGACGGGGGCCCGCACAAGCGGUGGAGCAUGUGGUUUAAUUCGAUGCAACGCGAAGAACCUUACCUGGUCUUGACAUCCACAGAACUUAGCAGAGAUGCUUUGGUGCCUUCGGGAACUGUGAGACAGGUGCUGCAUGGCUGUCGUCAGCUCGUGUUGUGAAAUGUUGGGUUAAGUCCCGCAACGAGCGCAACCCUUAUCCUUUGUUGCCAGCGGUUAGGCCGGGAACUCAAAGGAGACUGCCAGUGAUAAACUGGAGGAAGGUGGGGAUGACGUCAAGUCAUCAUGGCCCUUACGACCAGGGCUACACACGUGCUACAAUGGCAUAUACAAAGAGAAGCGACCUCGCGAGAGCAAGCGGACCUCAUAAAGUAUGUCGUAGUCCGGAUUGGAGUCUGCAACUCGACUCCAUGAAGUCGGAAUCGCUAGUAAUCGUAGAUCAGAAUGCUACGGUGAAUACGUUCCCGGGCCUUGUACACACCGCCCGUCACACCAUGGGAGUGGGUUGCAAAAGAAGUAGGUAGCUUAACCUUCGGGAGGGCGCUUACCACUUUGUGAUUCAUGACUGGGGUGAAGUCGUAACAAGGUAACCGUAGGGGAACCUGCGGUUGGAUCACCUCCUUACCUUAAAGAA